rnacentral:rRNA from 1 species
GAUGAACGCUGGCGGCGUGCUUAACACAUGCAAGUCGAACGGAAAGGCCCAAGCUUGCUUGGGUACUCGAGUGGCGAACGGGCGAGUAACACGUGGGUGAUCUGCCCUGCACUUCGGGAUAAGCCUGGGAAACUGGGUCUAAUACCGGAUAGGACGAUGGUUUGGAUGCCAUUGUGGAAAGUUUUUUCGGUGUGGGAUGAGCUCGCGGCCUAUCAGCUUGUUGGUGGGGUAAUGGCCUACCAAGGCGUCGACGGGUAGCCGGCCUGAGAGGGUGUACGGCCACAUUGGGACUGAGAUACGGCCCAGACUCCUACGGGAGGCAGCAGUGGGGAAUAUUGCACAAUGGGCGCAAGCCUGAUGCAGCGACGCCGCGUGGGGGAUGACGGCCUUCGGGUUGUAAACUCCUUUCGCUAGGGACGAAGCGUUUUUGUGACGGUACCUGGAGAAGAAGCACCGGCUAACUACGUG